rnacentral:rRNA from 1 species
CGCGAACGCUGGCGGCAUGGCUAAAACAUGCAAGUCGAGCGCGAAAGUCCCUUCGGGGGCGAGUAGAGCGGCGAAAGGGCGAGUAAUGCGUUCCUACGUACCCCGAGGUCAGGGAUAGCCCAUGGAAACGUGGAGUAAUACCUGAUGUGGUGCUUCGGCAUCAAAGGCUUGCCGCCUCGGGAGCGGGGAACGUCCUAUCAGGUUGUUGGUGAGGUAAAAGCUCACCAAGCCGAAGACGGGUAGCGGGUGUGAGAGCAUGACCCGCCGCAUCGGGACUGAGACACUGCCCGGACUCCUACGGGAGGCUGCAGUAACGAAUCUUCCGCAAUGCGCGAAAGCGUGACGGAGCAAUGCCGCGUGCAGGAUGGAGCCCCUCGGGGUGUGAACUGCUGUCAGGGUUUAGAAACACAAUGAUCAGACCCAAAGGAAGGGCCGGCUAACUUCG